CCUCUCUCUUGUCUCCCUCCCACCAGCCACGAAGGUUUUCAAAGGUUAUUAAGGCUGGGCGGUGAGCAGAAGACUAUUUAAACAUCGGAAAGAGCAUGCUGAUUCCUUUAGCAAUACUUUUGAACAGUCUUUUAAUGGCCUCCUUAGAAGUUCUAUGAAGACUUUAGUGGAACAGCUACCAUUCAGGAGUGAUAAAGAUAUCAACGCUAAGAAUACACUACGUAACGUUGCAAACCCACUAUGGUCUAGAAGAUCCUGUAUGUCACGCUAGGAGUUUAUUUUGGAGCAAAAAAUGGAAAUUAAAAUCAACUGGAGAAGCCAAGUAGGAAAUCAUUCAAAACCUCAUAUUGAAGAGACCUUAGGAGGAAAAUAGCAUGAGCAGUGAUUUCAUCAAAAUGAGGUGUAAAAAAUAAACAGAUGGGGGGACAUGGCAGGAAAAAAAAAUUAUAACAAAUCUGUUUUUCUUUCCAGAUACUUUCCCCAAAUAGCUAAACCUGUAAAAGUUACAUAAUGCACGAUUAGUAAUGCUUCGUUGUACCCCUUUUGGUUUUUCUUUCCCUUUUUCUCAUAUGUCUACCUGUGAUCAUGUAGGCGGAAUCAGAAGACACGUACUCCUCAAAACCAGGAAAAGGAGAGAAAGUUCAGACCCAGUAAGCCGUCCCGGUCAGUUAGGAUUUAGUUCACCUGCACGGAAGAGAGACCUGGUUUUUUCAGCUUACACAAAGAACACUGGCGUUGUCCUCACAGGACAAAGAAUCUGGGCGGGCGGUCCAAAGCAGGUGCUGGUGCCUGAGGAAGUCACUGAGGACCUGGGCUCCUUCCAGUCACCGUGGCUUCACCAGCAGGCAUUGUGUUUAUGCUCUAGCAAGUUAAACAAGGAGGAAGUGCAGAGUGAAAGGCAGAGGCCCUCGCCUCUGCCCCAGAGGGUCCCCUGGAAGCCCCGCCCUGUGAUUCUUGCUUUCAUUAGCAAUCAGCCAGCACUGAUUUCCACGGUCACCUCUAUCCAUAAGGGAAUCUGGGAGAGGGGAGGGGUACUUUGCCACCCCCAAUAAAAUUGAGUUCUUUUGAUAAUGAAGAAGUGGGGUAUGCUUCUAUUCCUGAUGUUUAAAGUAUUUACUUUACCCCAUUUGCCAUUAAAUGGAAGUUAAUCUAUUUCUCUUAUGACCUUUCAUCUUCUGAUGCCUCUGAUAGUAGGCAUUCAACAAAUAAAUGUGGGUUGAUUGACAGAUUGAUUGACUCAUUAUACUAGUAAUUGCCAGGCAUACUUCAUGUCAGUAUACUAGGAUAUUUACAAACAAAAUAUAUGUUCCUGCACUCAAGGGGCUUAUCGGUGCAAUUUCAGGCAUUCAUGUACAUAAAGUAAUUAGAGAACAAUCUCGCUGGUA